CCUACGGGAGGCAGCAGUGAGGAAUAUUGGUCAAUGGCCGUAAGGCUGAACCAGCCAAGCCGCGUGAAGGAAGAAGGACCUAUGGUUUGUAAACUUCUUUUAUAGGGGAAUAAAGGUAUCCACGUGUGGAUAUUUGCAUGUACCCUAUGAAUAAGCAUCGGCUAACUCCGUGCCAGCAGCCGCGGUAAUACGGAGGAUGCGAGCGUUAUCCGGAUUUAUUGGGUUUAAAGGGUGCGUAGGUGGUUUUUUAAGUCAGCGGUGAAAGUUUGGGGCUCAACCAUAAAAUUGCCGUUGAAACUGGAAGGCUUGAGUGUGGUAGAGGUAGGCGGAAUGCGUGGUGUAGCGGUGAAAUGCAUAGAUAUCACGCAGAACACCGAUUGCGAAGGCAGCUUACUAAGCAAUAACUGACGCUGAGGCACGAAAGCGUGGGGAUCAAACAGGAUUAGAUACCCUUGUAGUC
rnacentral:rRNA from 1 species